AUAGCUGGUUACUUGAUAAAAGAAUUUUAGUUCUACCUAAAGCCCAAAUAAGUUUAAUAAACUAGCACCGAGGCUUUAGAGUUAUUCAAAUAAGGUACAGCCUAUUUGAAUAAGGAGACAACCUAAACUAAUGGGUAAAUAUUUAUAGUGUACCAAAGUGGGCCUAAAAGCAGCCACCUUAAACAAUAGCGUCAAAGCUUCUCUACACAAGUACAUUCAAUUCCACACCCCAACCAAAACCCUUUAUUGUCAUCAAGUAAUUCUAUAUAUCUAUAGAACAUAAAAUGUUAAAACUAGUAACAAGAAGAAAAUCCUUCUCUUAAGUGUAAGUGUAAGCCAGAAAGGAUAAACCACUGUCAAUUAACACCAAUGACUUUUAAUUAGUAACAUUACAAGAAAACCCUAAUAAAACAAAUGUUAAACUAACACAAGAGCACUCCAAGAAAGAUUAAAAGAAAAAGAAGGAACUCGGCAAACACUAACCCCGCCUGUUUACCAAAAACAUCGCCUCUUGCCAAAUAUAAGAGGUCCAGCCUGCCCAGUGACCUAGUUCAACGGCCGCGGUAUCCUAACCGUGCGAAGGUAGCGUAAUCACUUGUUCUUUAAAUGAGGACUAGUAUGAAUGGCAUCACGAGGGUUACACUGUCUCCUUUUUUUAAUCAGUGAAACUAAUCUCCCCGUGAAGAAGCGGGGAUUUUCUUAUAAGACGAGAAGACCCUAUGGAGCUUUAAACAAACUAACACUUGCUGCCCAAAAUAACUUUUUCAGGAAACACGGCACACAGCAUAGCAAGAUGAUUAAUAGUUUUCGAUUGGGGUGAUCACGGAGUAAAAAAUAACCUCCAUGCCGAAAGGACCCUUCCCUGAGCAAAAAGCCACAACUUUAAGCACUAAAAAAAUUAACGUUUAUUGACCCAAUAUUUUGAUCAACGAACCAAGUUACCCUAGGGAUAACAGCGCAAUCCACUUCAAGAGCUCCUAUCGACAAGUGGGUUUACGACCUCGAUGUUGGAUCAGGGUAUCCUAGUGGUGCAGCCGCUACUAACGGUUCGUUUGUUCAACGAUUAAAACCCU
rnacentral:rRNA from 1 species